UCAGAUCACCUGGCGUGCUGUGAAAUUCACAAUCAGCAUUGUUUUCAGAUUCAGGAAAGUGGUGUUCUUCCCCAACUGUAUCUAUUUUCCCAAGACUAGGAAGAGAAUCUACAUUUGGACUUGCCAUUGACAGUGAAAAGUGACAAUGCAUAAUAUGUUGACAAAGUCUCCAGGAUUUGAAGUUACACCCAAACCGAGCUAUAGCAUUUAUUAGCUACUGCACUUUGAACAAGUUAACCUCUUUAGGAAUCAAUGAUCUUACCAGAGAAGCACAGACAGACUCUACAAAUUUCUGUUUGAGUGAAGAACAUCGUAUCUCCCUUGUGGAAUUGCAACUGCUGGGCCAGUGUGACUUCCUGAGAGCCAUGGGUUCAUUCAGUUCUGUCAUGAGAAAAACAGAAAAUUUCUAGCAGUGGGGCAGCCUACCAAAUAUUUGAUCAGUACUCCUCAAAGCUACCCAGGUCAUCAAAAACAAGAGACAUCUGAGAAACAGCCACAGUCCAGAAGAACCUAAGAAUUCAUCCAUGGAUCAACUGUUGCUAUUCCAUUACGAUAACCAUUUCUUGGCUGAG